rnacentral:rRNA from 1 species
GAUGAACGCUGGCGGCGUGCUUAACACAUGCAAGUCGAACGGGAAACCUUUUAUUGAAGCUUCGGCCGAUUUAGAUGGUUUCUAGUGGCGGACGGUUGAGUAACGCGUGGGUAACCUGCCUUAUACAGGUGGAUAACAGUCAGAAAUGGCUGCUAAUACCGCAUAAGCGCACAGAGCUGCAUGGCUCGGUGCGAAAAACUCCGGGGGUAUAAGAUGGACCAGCCUUGGAUUAGCUUGUUGUAGGAGUAACGGCCCACCAAGGCGACGAUCCAUAGCCGGCCUGAGAGGGGGAAAGGCCACAUUGGGACUGAGCCAAGGCCCAUACUCCUACUGGAGGCAGCAGUAUGGAAUAUUGCACGAUCGAGGAAACCCUGAUGAAGCGACUCCGCGUGAAUGAAGAAGUAUCUCGGUAUGUAAACUUCUAUCAGCAGGGAAGAUAGUUACGGUACCUGACUAAGAAGCCCCGGCUAAGUACGUGCCAGCCGCCGCCGUAAUAC